CCUACGGGAGGCAGCAGUGAGGAAUAUUGGUCAAUGGGGGAAACCCUGAUGCAGCAACGCCGCGUGAAGGAAGAAGGUUUUCGGAUUGUAAACUUCUGUUCUUAGGGACGAAAAAUGACGGUAGCUAAGGAGCAAGCCACGGCUAACUACGUGCCAGCAGCGGCGGUAAUACGUAGGUGGCAAUCGUUGUCCGGAAUUACUGGGUGUAAAGGGAGCGCAGGCGGGAAGGCAAGUCAGCUGUGAAAACUACGGGCUUAACUUGUAGACUGCAGUUGAAAAUGGUUUUCUUGAGUGAAGUAGAGGUAGGCGGAAUUCCGAGUGUAGCGGUGAAAUGCGUAGAUAUUCGGAGGAACACCGGUGGCGAAGGCGGCCAACUGGGCUUUAACUGACGCUGAGGCUCGAAAGUGUGGGGAGCAAACAGGAUUAGAUACCCGUGUAGUC
rnacentral:rRNA from 1 species